rnacentral:ribozyme from 1 species
UGCCCAGCAACUCCUAUCCCUACCUCCUCGUGAUACUGGCCGGGGUACGAGUAACCUUGGGGAAGAUCGGGUAACCAACCCCCGGUGGGAACUUUGGUCGUAUGCUGACAGGGAAGC